UGUGAGUUAACCACACUCCUCACAGGUCUGCAGUGAAUCCUCUCUUGAAGAGGAAUCUGAAUUGUGCAUCCCAGCCUGCCAUCGUUGUUUAUGAUACGGAAUUGGAGCGAUUGGGCUGAACGACUGGAAAGGCAACUUGUCUGCUGUUGCCUAAAAUAGCACCAUCAGUGCAUAUCAGCAAAUUAUUCAUGGUCAAGAUGGGGAGACAGACAAUCCGCCCCUGGUGACAUUUCCCUGUGACCUGGGGAUUGAGAAGCACACUGGCGGCUGUGGAAGGACAAAAGCUGGUACCAACUCCGUUCCUGCCCAGAACAAGAGUUGACAAGAGUCAAGUGAGUGAACAUGUGUGUGUGUGGUGUCUAGAUACGCGCUAUAUGUGUGUGAUGUGUGUUUAUGUGUGGUCUGUAUGUGUGUGUGGGGUGGGGGGUAGCAUAAGAAUGGUGUGUGGUGUGUGUGUUUCUGCAUUGUGUGCCAUGGAUGUGGUGUGGAGGUGUGGUUGUGUGUACAUGCCUCUGCGUUCUGAAUGAGACCAAGAAGAUGGUGGCUGGGAGAAAAAAGAAUGGAGGGGGCCCUCCCUUAGCCAAGCCCUUGAAGUACAUUGUACGCCAUCAUCCCAGGAGGCAGGGAGAACAGGAGACUGGCUGGGACCAACCAGCAACCGGCAGCACUCAGCAAUGGUCUCCCCUGAUGGGGAGGUUCUUCUCACCUCUGCAGGGUGGGAAGCGAACCGCAUUCCAAAGACAAUUUAACAAAAAAGGAAAGAAAGGACCUUCCAGCUUCCUUUGCAGCUUCUACACUGUUUUUGGUUGACUCCGUCUUACCCCAGAAAAGAUAAACAGGCUUUUCUGUGAUUAGAGGACCUGGCUAACUGGACCUUCACUGUCAGCCAGAUGUAUCAGCAGCCCUUAUUCUAUGAGAAAGCAGCAUGAGAAAGCUUUCGUGUUUGGGGGACUGAACAGGAGAAACGGAUCUUACCUUGGCUGGGCCCCUGGGAAUGGCAGUAAUGGAAAAUGGCAGCCUGGUUCCACAUGGAGGAGUCCUGAAUCUCGUGGAGACCCUGCUUCUCUUGGCAAGACCUCUGAGGAAACGGUGACAGGG